UGAAGAUUUGAAACUUAGGCUGCUAACUUGAGUUCGGGAGAAUGUUUGUCUUCCAUUUUCAU
rnacentral:tRNA from 1 species